UAUCGGAUUGAUACUAAGCCAUGCGAGUCAUUGCAGUAAUGCAAGGCAGACGGCUCAGUAACGCGUAGUCAACCUACCCUAUGGACGGGAAUAACCUCGGGAAACUGAGUAUAAUGCCCGAUAGAACACUAUUCCUGGAAUGGUUUGUGUUCCAAAUGAUUUAUCGCCGUAGGAUGGGACUGCGGCCUAUCAGUUUGUUGGUGAGGUAAUGGCCCACCAAGACUAUUACAGGUACGGGCUCUGAGAGGAGUAGCCCGGAGAUGGGUACUGAGACACGGACCCAGGCCCUAUGGGGCGCAGCAGGCGAGAAAACUUUGCAAUGUGCGAAAGCACGACAAGGUUAAUCCGAGUGGUUUGUGCUAAACGAACCUUUUGACAGUCCUAGAAACACUGUUGAAUAAGGGGUGGGCAAGUUCUGGUGUCAGCCGCCGCGGUAAAACCAGCACCUCAAGUGGUCAGGAUGAUUAUUGGGCCUAAAGCAACCGUAGCCGGCUCUGUAAGUUUUCGGUUAAAUCUGUACGCUCAACGUACAGGCUGCCGGGAAUACUGCAGAGCUAGGGAGUGGGAGAGGUAGACGGUACUCGGUAGGAAGGGGUAAAAUCCUUUGAUCUAUUGAUGACCACCUGUGGCGAAGGCGGUCUACCAGAACACGUCCGACGGUGAGGGAUGAAAGCUGGGGGAGCAAACCGGAUUAGAUACCCGGGUAGUCCCAGCUGUAAACUAUGCAAACUCAGUGAUGCAUUGGCUUGUGGCCAAUGCAGUGCUGCAGGGAAGCCGUUAAGUUUGCCGCCUGGGUAGUACGUACGCAAGUAUGAAACUUAAAGGAAUUGGCGGGGGAGCACCACAAGGGGUGAAGCCUGCGGUUCAAUUGGAUUC
rnacentral:rRNA from 1 species